AAGAGUUAGAAAGAAAUGAAUCGACGGUAGACGUCGGGAGAUUGAAGUCGCCAAGUACAAAGAGCAGUGAGCCAUCGUCAGGAAACGAUCUUAUCAAGAUGGCAAGCACAUUGAGGGACUCGUAGGGGCACCUGGUGGACAAUAGACGACAACACUAUUAAGCUUGAGUGGAUACGUGACAGGUGAGAUGAGGAGAUGGACAGGUGAGCGAAGGAGAAAAUAGAAAAUGUCCACUUGGGAGAAAUUAGUAGCCCCGUGCCACCGUCGUGACGACCAGAUGCUCUCGGACUAUGAGAUGACACUUAGAUGAAGAGAGAGCAGCUGGAGUAGCAGUGUUCUCGGAGAUGAUCCAUCUCUCUGUCAGGGACAAAAAGUCACGAGACUGAAGGACAAUAUAGACUGAGAUGAACGCUGUGUUGUUGACCACUGAUCAGCAGUUCCAACCACUCUGCCAGAGACCAGGAAUUCCUCAUGGGUUGUUAACACAGGCUACACUAAAUCAGAAGGGUUGUAACCGAAGGGCGAGGAGUGUCUGUAAAGCCUACACAGGCUACACUAAAUCAGAAGGGUUGUAACCGAAGGGGAGGAGUGUCUGUAAAGCCUACACAGGCUACACUAAAUCAGAAGGGUUGUAACCGAAGGGCGAGGAGUGUCUGUAAAGCCUACACAGGCUACACUAAAUCAGAAGGGUUGUAACCGAAGGGGAGGAGUGUCUGUAAAGCCUACACAGGCUACACUAAAUCAGAAGGGUUGUAACCGAAGGGCGAGGAGUGUCUGUAAAGCCUACACAGGCUACACUAAAUCAGAAGGGUUGUAACCGAAGGGUGAGGAGUGUCUGUAAAGCCUACACAGGCUACACUAAAUCAGAAGGGUUGUAACCGAAGGACGAGGAGUGUCUGUAAAGCCUACACAGACUACACUAAAUCAGAAGGGUUGUAACCGAAGGGUGAGGAGUGUCUGUAAAGCCUACACAGGCUACACUAAAUCAGAAGGGUUGUAACCGAAGGGUGAGGAGUGUCUGUAAAGCCUACACAGGCUACACUAAAUCAGAAGGGUUGUAACCGAAGGGUGAGGAGUGUCUGUAAAGCCUACACAGGCUACACUAAAUCAGAAGGGUUGUAACCGAAGGACGAGGAGUGUCUGUAAAGCCUACACAGGCUACACUAAAUCAGAAGGGUUGUAACCGAAGGGUGAGGAGUGUCUGUAAAGCCUACACAGGUUACACUAAAUCAGAAGGGUUGUAACCGAAGGGUGAGGAGUGUCUGUAAAGCCUACACAGGCUACACUAAAUCAGAAGGGUUGUAACCGAAGGGUGAGGAGUGUCUGUAAAGCCUACACAGG